rfam:Microgenomates bacterium GW2011_GWA1_48_10 TY21_C0008, whole genome shotgun sequence.
GCCGCGUUCGUCUAGUGGUCAGGACGCCAGGUUCUCAUCCUGGCAACAGGGGUUCGAUUCCCCUACGCGGUG